GACGAACGCUGGCGGCGUGCUUAACACAUGCAAGUCGAACGGUGAUGCUCCAGCUUGCUGGAGUGGAUCAGUGGCGAACGGGUGAGUAACACGUGAGCAACCUGCCCCAGACUCUGGAAUAAGCGCUGGAAACGGCGUCUAAUACUGGAUACGAAACUGGCCCGCAUGGGCAUGGUUUGGAAAGUUUUUCGGUUUGGGAUGGGCUCGCGGCCUAUCAGCUUGUUGGUGAGGUAAUGGCUCACCAAGGCGACGACGGGUAGCCGGCCUGAGAGGGCGACCGGCCACACUGGGACUGAGACACGGCCCAGACUCCUACGGGAGGCAGCAGUGGGGAAUAUUGCACAAUGGGCGAAAGCCUGAUGCAGCGACGCCGCGUGAGGGAAGACGGCCUUCGGGUUGUAAACCUCUUUCAGCAGGGAAGAAGCGAAAGUGACGGUACCUGCAGAAGAAGCACCGGCUAACUACGUG
rnacentral:rRNA from 1 species